rnacentral:tRNA from 1 species
CCUUUAGCUCAAUUGGAUAGAGCAACAGUCUUCUAAACUGUAGGUUGUAAGUUCAAAUCUUACAAGGAUCAUUACCA